rnacentral:rRNA from 1 species
UCAGGAUGAACGCUAGCGGCAGGCUUAACACAUGCAAGUCGAGGGGUAACAGGUAGCUUGCUAUGCUGACGACCGGCGCACGGGUGCGUAACGCGUAUAGAAUCUGCCUUCUACAGAGGGAUAGCCUUUAGAAAUGAAGAUUAAUACCUCAUAAUACUGAUUAGUAGCAUUACUAUUUAGUUAAAGAUUUAUCGGUAGAAGAUGACUAUGCGUCCUAUUAGCUGGAUGGUAAGGUAACGGCUUACCAUGGCUACGAUAGGUAGGGGUCCUGAGAGGGAGAUCCCCCACACUGGUACUGAGACACGGACCAGACUCCUACGGGAGGCAGCAGUGAGGAAUAUUGGGCAAUGGAGGCAACUCUGACCCAGCCAUGCCGCGUGCAGGAAGACUGCCCUAUGGGUUGUAAACUGCUUUUAUACAGGAAGAAACCGCUCUACGUGUAGAGCCUUGACGGUACUGUAAGAAUAAGGACCGGCUAACUCCGUGCCAGCAGCCGCGGUAAUACGGAGGGUCCGAGCGUUAUCCGGAAUCAUUGGGUUUAAAGGGUCCGCAGGCGGUCAAUUAAGUCAGAGGUGAAAUCCCGUCGCUCAACGACGGAACUGCCUUUGAUACUGGUUGACUUGAGUUAUACGGAAGUAGAUAGAAUAAGUAGUGUAGCGGUGAAAUGCAUAGAUAUUACUUAGAAUACCGAUUGCGAAGGCAGUCUACUACGUAUAUACUGACGCUCAUGGACGAAAGCGUGGGGAGCGAACAGGAUUAGAUACCCUGGUAGUCCACGCCGUAAACGAUGGAUACUAGUUGUUGGGUUUAUUCUCAGUGACUAAGCGAAAGUGAUAA